CAGUCGCCACGGUAAUACGGAGGGUGCAAGCGUUAACCGGAAUUACUGGGCGUAAAGCGCACGCAGGCCGUUUGUUAAGUCAGAUGUGAAAUCCCCGAGCUUAACUUGGGAACUGCAUUUGAAACUGGCAAGCUAGAGUCUUGUAGAGGGGGGUAGAAUUCCAGGUGUAGCGGUGAAAUGCGUAGAGAUCGGGAGGAACAUCAGUGGCGAAGGCGGCCAUCUGGGACAACACUGACGCUGAGGCACGAAAGCGUGGGGAGCAAACAGGAUUAGAGACCCGAGUAGUCCCUGUCUCUUAUAA
rnacentral:rRNA from 1 species